rnacentral:rRNA from 1 species
GAUGAACGCUGGCGGCGUGCCUAAUACAUGCAAGUCGAGCGAACAGACCAGGAGCUUGCUCCUCUGACGUUAGCGGCGGACGGGGGAGUAACACGUGGAUCACCUCCCUAUAAGACUGGGAUAACUUCGGGAAACCGGAGCUAAUACAGGAUAAUAUAUUGAACCGCAUGGUUCAAUGGUGAAAUACGGUUUUGGUGUUACUUAUACAUGGAUCCGCGCCGCAUUAGGUGGUUGGUAAGGUAACGGCUUUUCAAGGCAACGAUGCGUAGCCGACCUGAGAGGCUGAUCGGCCACACUGGAACUGAGACACGGACCAGACUCCUACGGGAGGCAGCAGUAGGGAAUCGUACGCAAUGGGCGAAAGCCUGACGGAGCAACGCCGCGUGAGUGAUGAAGAUCUUCGGAUCGUAAAACUCUGUUAUUAGUGAAGAACAAAUGUGUAAGUAACUAUGCACGUCUUGACGGUACCUAAUCAGAAAGCCACGGCUAACUACGUG